UAAAUGAAUGCUCCGUUUGGUCACCGUCAUUAACUCAUGCAUUUCGUGCGCCGUCGGCAAAACAACUCGAAUCGACCUCGACCAUAAGUUAUUGGGUAUAUUUUUCUUCGUUUAAGAAAUACCGAAAUACUUAUAGGGCCACUCGUGUAUUCUUACCAAUCUAAUAUGCUGUAAUACGUGUGUCGGAAACAUAUGCGAUAUACCACGUCAUUUAUAUGUGUAUACUAUAAGCGAUAUCAAACAUAUGAAGUCUUGAACCAAAAGAAAGCCAGAAACUCUCUCCUUCCGUACUGAACCUUGUAUACAGUGCUUUAUGUACCGUGUUACAUAGAGCCACAGCGAUAGACACGAUGAAUCCUCUCGGAGACGAUUACCUUGUGCCAAGGUGACCUCCUUUCUACUUCGUUCAUUUUUGCCCCGUUAUUCAAGGCCAUGAAAUAGUAGAACGUAUGUGCGAGAUAACGAGUUCAGCACCCCCCUCCGCCGAGCCAUAUGGAUUAACGUAAAAAUUCAUUAAUAUGUCUACGUAACUCCUAAUGAUAAGGAAGAAAAUAAAAAAAGGCCAUUCUGAGUUACUUGACUGGCCGACGAUGAGUCAUCGGUAGGGAAUGAUAUGACGUGUUUCAUAAUUUUUUUUUUUUUUCAUAUUUCUGUGCCAAUAAACUGUUAAGGAGAAGCGCGAAUGCAUAUUACCAAGAAAACAUAAAUAUAAGCACGUAUAGUGAGGCGAUUAAGUAUCAUUUGGUGUUCGUUCGAUGCUAUUUGAGCUCGAUGAAUCCUCGACCUUGCUUCGCUACCUUAUCUGCCCUGUAUUAUUGACGAGUCGCGGCUGUAUAUACAUUUUUUCUUUAUACCUUGGAUUUUGUUCAGAUAAAAUGCGGUCGCGUCAUACGCGAUACCACCUUCGCUGCUCGCAGGUGGAAUAGCAACAACAAUAAUAGAUACUGUCGCUCGUGUUUCAAUUUGCAUUAGCAAAAUGUGCAGAAAUGAACGGUGGUGAAAUUUUGCAAGAAUGAUAGAGACAGGCGGAGCUAGUGAAACUCUCAUUGAACGGAAGAAACUAGUGGAACGCGAAAAUAAAUAAAAAGAAACGAAUCGCUACGUGGUCGUUGAUUCGUUGAUCCUCUUGUUGUGCGUCGUGGCAGAUUAUCAAGAGAUUUGACACUCGGAUUUAUAUUUAUUUACAGGAAACGUCCCAAAUAUAUACUUCAAGAUCUUGCUUCUGAAUAUAUGAAUAGCCGAUUAUGUGCAAGUACAUUGAGCCGGUACCGUUAAGUAAAUCUUGACCGAAGAAAUCCUCUGAAUUGUCACUGAAAACGAUUGGUUGACACUUAAUGACAAGAUUUCACGUGAAAGAUCUGGCCAAAAAAGGAAUGAGCUGAGUCAUCGUGAAAUUCUAUGAAAACAUCUAAAAUCGUGUUUCAUCAGCAGUGACGCAUCUUAGCGACAUAGAGUGGCCGAUACGAUGCAUUUGCAAUGAACAUAGAAAGCAGGGCGAGGGUGCUGAUGAGGAAACGAAAAGAGAAACGUAGAGAGGGGUAUACACACAACACACACACAUACACACAGAGAAAAAGAGAGCGAGAGAGAGAGAGAGAGAAAGAGAGGGAAUAAAGUCUGACUCAUUUUAUGCACCAGCGGAGGGUACGGGUGAACUGAGCUCUAUGCACGUCAUUGGAAUUGUAUGAAUCACACUAGCAGUCCUCUGAUAUGCCUACCCGUCUUCGUACACUGACAGUAAAAAUGGCGAAACCUGCCUCUAAAGAGUCCCUCUUGCCGUACUGCACUGUGUUGAAGAUUCUAGAAGUCAUUUUAAAAUUUGAAAAACCUACAAACAAAUCUUAUACAUCAUUUAAUCUCUGAAGAAUGUUCGAAUAGAAGAAGAAACAAGAAAAUUGUUUUCAAUAAAAUUAUAAUGCAAUUAACACU